rnacentral:lncRNA from 1 species
UGCAGUUCCAACACAGAACACAGGAUGUGGUGAACUGAAUAAUGGCAUUCAAAGAUGUCCAGGUCAAAGUCCUUGAAACUUUGUGAUUGGACCCAUGAGCUAAGAAAUGCAGCUGUAAGAAGCUAGAAAAGGCAAGAAACAGAUUCCUCCUUUACUGACACAUUUCCUUUCCACCUCAGGCCUUUUUUGUUCCUU